rnacentral:lncRNA from 1 species
UGAACUUCUCAGGGCUGCCUGAAGGUCGCUGCAGAGUAGUUCCUAGGUUUCCUUCUCUCAAAAUCUUUCUCCAAUGAAUCUCCCAGUGUAACUCCAAGUGUGUUUUCCUCUACUGAAACUUCAGUAUUUAUACACUGAUUUUCGUGGGUAGUGGGCUCAAAUGAGGGAGACCCAAGUCCAAAAAAAUUUGUUAUAUUUUAUUUAUUUAUUUAAUUAAUUUUAUUUAUUUUUAACUCUUUUUUUUUCCAGGAAAAAUGAAGGGUAAAUUUUGGGGUAUUACACCGGUUAAAGUGGACAUAUCAAGGAUAGACUCUGAAAAGGGGAAUAAUAGGAUUUACAACUACCUGUUAUUGGGUAGAAGACCACUCAAGGAGAAAAUCCGUCAUCGAU